UCGGAGUUGCAUCUUAGAAAGUAAGGGUUCGUAGCCCUACAUCUUCUUAGUCAAUUGUGGGCUCACGUGUCACUGUAAUAGUAAUUUUAUUCUUCAGUUAUCUGAUUUAAAGUAUGUAUGAAUAUAUUUAGCUUUUACACAAUGUAUUUUUGGCGAGUUUUGGUAUUUUCGAAGAAAAAUGACGAAAAUGCCCCUGUGAGCCAGAAAGUAAUAUUUUAUUGUUUUGAUUUGGAAAUGACUUAUGAUUUUUUCUGAAAUGUGAGAUUUAAUAACUGUCACUCACUAGGGAGAUGCAGAAGCUGAUGCUAAGCCUUGCGGGGUUUCGAUCGGCAUUCGGGGUAAUGAGUGCCUAUCGGGACGUCGCGGGGGUUGUCACGGGGCUCGAUGGGAGUUCCGAGUCGUGACAAAAUAUGUAGUUCUAACCUUUCUCUAGCUUGUUUCUUGAGUCUGCAGAUUUGAAAAGCAUAAAGAUAAUGUUAAAGAAAGUUAGAUCUUUCAAUGCACUAUCACCAUUGAUAGGGGAGUUUUUUUUUUUUUUAGCCUUUCACAUUGAGGACAAUGUGCAAUUUAAGUUUGGGGGAGGGUUUUAUUGUUAUUAGCUUUCAUGAUGUUUUACAUUAAUUAUUGCCGUUAAUUUUUUUUAUUUUAUGCAUGUGCAUUUGCAUUUGAACUAGAGUUAAUUGUGCCAAUUUCAUUUAAUUUACCUAUCCCAUGAUGAGAACUUAGUUCAUUCAUAUUUUGAUUCUUUGAAACAUGUGAAUAUUGCUUGAGUGAUAUGUAAAUUUUUGUGCUAAGCUUCAUUGUUAGGAUGAGAUUUCUACAUUUUGAGCACCAUGUCUUUUGCUUAGAUUCAUUGUACUUAUUUAGAGAAGGUUUAUGUAAAUGUGAAAAUUUUGAAUUAUGUAUUAAGUUCUAGAAUUUGUUUGAUUCUCUCUCAAGCUGAAAUCCUAGGUUAUACUUAGUUAAGGGGAUGAUUUAGGCCAUUUUUAGACCGAUUGAGCCCUUUGUAGCCUUCCUUUACAUAAAUUAUCCUUGGUUUCCCCCUUUGAGCCGAAUGACAUCUUUUCUUUGUUUGAACAUUUAAUUUUUAGCCUAGACCCUUAUAUUAAUAUUUCCAACAAUUCUUGCAUCUCUCAUUUCAAAGUACAUAAGUCAAUUUAGGAGGUAUUAUGAGCCACAGAGUGAAAGAGGUUGUCAAGAUGAAAAAAAAAUGAUGAAAAGUUCAAAAAUAUGAUUAUAUUCAUCUCACUACCCAAUAAAAGAAAUAAGUUUGGGGGUGUGAAAUUGAGAAAAAGAAAAAGGUAAAGAAAGAAUGAAGUUUUGACCAAAAGAAAAAGGUUGAUGAAAAAAAGGUGUACUAAGUGAAGGAAAACAAAGCUCUGAAUAAGUUUUAGAUUGACUAUGUGCUUAGAGUGAUUUGAGAUAUACAUUAUCCUAUAUCCCACCUUAACCCUAGCCAUACAUUAGAGGCUAAUUAAAGUCCUAUUGAUCCUUAAUUUAGUGCUAGUCUACAUUAGUGGAGAAAGAGAUGAAAAGCAAACUUAUAGAAUUUAAUUACUAAUUUGAAUUUUGCAUGAAUAUAAACUUAUCCGAAUUGUACAAUGUUCUAGGUGAAAAGAUUGCACACACACAAGGAAAUCAACUUAACUAUAAGCUUGCAUUUGAAUUGAAACUUGAACUUGAACAAUAUUUGUGUUGCUUAGAGUUGAGAAUUUAGAUUAACUUUUGAGGAUAUUAAAGGUGAUUGUUGAAGUGGUGCAAUUGAUUUUUUGUUAAGCUAUUUUCUUUAUUUAUGUUACUGCAUUUUAUUUUAUGUUUUGCUCAAGGGCUAGUAAAAUAUUAAGUUUGGGGUGUGAUAACUCUAUUAUAUAGAGUUAUUUUGACACAUUUUGGAGGCUUAAGUAGCUAGAUCUUUGAGAUUUUAGGUUCAGAUUGUAGCGUUUUAGGUGUUUUUCUAGUUUAAGUUUGAUUACAUGUUGAGUAAUUAAUUUAAGUUAUUUUAGUUAAAUUUUAUGUUAUUUUGUUUUAAAUUACUUUAAGAGUAGUUAUUACUGGUUUUUUUUAUUGCUUUUGUAGGAAACUUGACGAAAAAGGCUCAUUUGAUGAAAAUUCAUGCAAGUAUGGUGAUGUUUUCAUUCGUACAUGUUGUGUUAAUUUGGCCAUAUCUCUCUCUACAGAACUCCACAUGAAGUGAUUCUUGACCACUGCAAUGCUAAGAGGAAGGGCUACAACUUUUAUGUUUACAACUUUUCCCAGUUCUCAUUGGAUAGUGGCCAAAAUAUUUGUCUAAGUCGAAGCAUUGUAGUAGUAUGCAUGGAUCGAACAUGAUGUGGUUUUUGGCGCAUAUCUUUGGAUUCUAGGUUAGUAAAGCCACUUAGGAAAGAUAAAUAAUAAGAAAAGCUAGUAUCAGAUGGAAUAUUGAAUGAACCCAUAAUCCUAAGUCUUUAAUAUACUACUUUUCUCAACUUA
rnacentral:lncRNA from 1 species